rnacentral:lncRNA from 1 species
GAUAAGCCCAAACAGGUUAACAUAGGACUGAUGACUCAGAAACAGCUUAAACAUAAGCUUAAAGAGGUAAAGUCUGAUGACAAAAACAGGGAGCCUAGGAAAAAUAGAAAUGGCAAGAUUGGAAUAGACAAGAGUAAUAACUACAUGCCUAUUCCAAAUGCACCUAGGAAGACAUGCCAUAACUGUGGAAAUACUAAUCAUCUUGCUAAU